CGUGCCUCAGGGGUUUCCUCCGGGCACCUCGGUUUCCUCCCCCGGUCCAAAGACAUGCAUGGACUUGGCACCUGCACACCAUGGGAUCCCUAUUCUUAAUUGGCCAGAAACUCGCCUGACCUUAACCCCAUAGAACAUCUAUGGUGUAUUGUGAAGCGGACGAUGCGAUAUGCCAGACCCAACAAUGCAGAAGAGCUGAAGGCCACGAUCAGAGCAACCUGGGCUCUCAUAACACCUGAGCAGUGCCACGGACUGAUCGACUCCAUGCCACGCCGCAUUGCUGCAGUAAUUCAGGAGCCCCAACUAAGUAUUGAGUGCUGGACAUGUUUUCACUUGGCCCAGAUUUCUAAAAAUCCUUUCUUUGUAUUGGUCUUAAGUAAUAUUCAAAUUUUCUGAGAUACUUAAUUUGGGAUUUUCAAAGUUAAAAUAACUUAUAACGUUUGAAAUAUAUCAGUCUGUGUGUAUGAAUGAAUAUAAUAUACAGGUUUCACUUUUUGAAUGGAAUUAGUGAAAUAAAUCAAAUUUUGAUGAUAUUA